UAGCUGAGUGGUAGAGCACUUGCCUAGAAUGCAGGAAGCCCUGGUUCAAUCCCCAGG
rnacentral:tRNA from 1 species